rnacentral:rRNA from 1 species
UACAUGGGGUGCAAACGUUGCUCGGAAUCAUUGGGCGUAAAGCGCACGUAGGCGGUUACUUAAGUCGGAUGUGAAAGCCCUCGGCUCAACUGAGGAAGUGCACCCGAAACUGAGUAGCUAGAGUACGAAAGAGGGUCGCGGAAUUCCCGGUGUAGAGGUGAAAUUCGUAGAUAUCGGGAGGAACACCGGUGGCGAAGGCGGCGACCUGGGUCGAGACUGACGCUGAGGCACGAAGGCCAGGGGAGCAAACGGG